AAUUUCAUAAGUAAAGCAGGUGCCCAUAAGGGCUUAAUAGGGAAGACCGGUGAAAAGCCGGCACGGUCCCGCCACUGUAAUGCAGAGCAAAUCCAACAGAAGUCACUGAGGAAAUUGGGAAGGCUGGAGGCGCGAGGAAGCAGAGUCAGGAGAACUGCCUGUUUUGUAUCACCGUUU
rnacentral:ncRNA from 21 species